UACGUAGGGUGCAGGCGUUAAUCGGAAUUACUGGGCGUAAAGAGCGUGUAGGCGGCCAUUCAGGUCAGCUGUGAAAACUCGAGGCUCAACCUCGAGACGUCGGUUGAAACCGUUUGGCUAGAGUCCGGAAGAGGAGAGUGGAAUUCCCGGUGUAGCGGUGAAAUGCGCAGAUAUCGGGAAGAACACCCGUGGCGAAGGCGGCUCUCUGGGACGGUACUGACGCUGAGACGCGAAAGCGUGGGGAGCGAACAGG
rnacentral:rRNA from 1 species